GGCUGUGGCUCAGUCAGUAGAGGGUUGUGCUAGCAACACAAGGGCGGGGGUUAAAAUCCCAGGGAAAGCCA